CCACCCUGUUCUGUCCAACCUCCCACUGAGGUCGUCCGCCCACGGCGCCUGGGGCCGCUCCCUUCCAGUUUGCAGGGCCCACCAUAAACACAUUAGGCUCGGUCACUCAGACAUUCUCUGAAGCAGCAGCAAUAAAUGAGGCCAUAUCCAGUGGCCAUAAGCCCCCACCCCGACACCAGGCACAUCCGGGCUGCACUCAAACCAGAAGCCCUGUCCAAGGUGCACUCAGUAGGACCCGGCCAUACCAUAAGGCCCCACCAGGGACCCGCUGGAAGGCUCUGGAGCCACUCACGCCGGGCCCUCGGUUUCAUGUGGCCCAAGCCAACUUCUGAGGAGGGGCUGUUUCUUCACCCCAAGACUGCGUCCCUCUGAGCCGCCCCUCCUGUUCUCUGCAAUCCUUCCAGUUCCUUCUGCCUGAGGAAGGACGCAUGUCCAGCUCCACUGCGAGCCUGGCACCCGCCCUGGGAGGUAAGUCUGGAUGAGACUAGGAGAUAAGAGGAUGAGAGAUGAGACUGGGAGAUAAGAGGAUGAGAGAUGAGACUGGGAGAUGAUAAGAGGAUGAGAGAGCAUCACCAGCCCCACCCUGUGUCCACACCCUCCACUGCCCCAACCUACCCACCCUUCAGAGAUCAGAAUCCUGGUCUACUCUUAAGAGAAUGGCCAGAGGCAGAAUGUGACUUUCAACCUGAGUUGGGUGGCUCAGGAGGAGGAAUCCUGGAUUUUAUACAGGAUGGUGUCAUGCCCCUGCCCCCCACCUCCAUGAAAGCUGAUGGCCCAGAGGAUGUGCACCAGGGAAGCACAUCCAGAUCCACGGCUGCAGGUGGGAGGCAGGGGAGGAGGGGGCCCAGCCAGGCUUCCCCAUCUUCCCCGCCACCCAGACCAGCCCCCCACCAUCACCCCUGCCACCCCAGCUGGGGCCCCCAUCAUCCCUGCCACCCCGGCCGGGCCCUCCAUCAUCCCCGCUGCCCAAGCUGGGCCCUCAGCAUCCCUGCUGCCCUUCGGGCCUGGACUUACUGUUAUGUCUUCCAGGGUGGGGGCUCCCACUGUCUAUCCCCUACCCUCCUUCCCCUCCUGCCUCACAGCAUCAGAAACCUCCCAGGCCCAGCCAGGCCAUGGGCCCGCACUGACCACCACCCCGUUCACUCACAGGCUUCUGUAAACGCAUACAGUGGUGUCUAUGCAGUGCAUGUUACGAUUCAAACAUGAGAUUUUUUUCAAAACUGAAAAACUCAAUAUAUUCAGUAUUUUACUCCCACAGCCCCCGCCCCCGCCCCCAGUGUGACCCACAGGGACCCCCAUCCAGGUGCAGGGUCCUCGCCUGUGUACAGGGCACACCUUUGGUCA
rnacentral:lncRNA from 1 species